rnacentral:rRNA from 1 species
AACGAACGCUGGCGGCAUGCCUAACACAUGCAAGUCGAACGAGACCUUCGGGUCGAGUGGCGCACGGGUGCGUAACGCGUUGGAACCUGCGCUUAGGUUCGGAAUAACGCCCCGAAAGGGGUGCUAGUACCGGAUAAUGUCUUCGGACCAAAGAUUUAUCCCCGUUGGAUGGGCCCGCGUUGGAUUAGCUAGUUGGUAGGGUAAAAGCCUACCAACUCGACGGUCCAUAGCUGGUCUGAGAGGGUGAUCAGCCAGACUGGGACUGAGACACGGCCCAGACUCCUACGGGCGGCAGCAGUGGGGAAUAUUGGACAAUGGGAGAAAGCCUGCUCCAGCAAUGCCGCGUGAGUGAUGAAGGCCUUAGGGUUGUAUAGCUCUUUCACGCGGGAUGAUAAUGACAGUACCGGGAGAAUAAGCUCCGGCUAACUCCGUG